rnacentral:rRNA from 1 species
GACGUAGGGCGCGAGCGUUGUCCGGAUUUAUUGGGCGUAAAGAGCUCGUAGGCGGCUUGUCGCGUCGUCCGUGAAAACCUGCGGCUCAACUGCAGGCUGGCGGUCGAUACGGGCAGGCUGGAGUUCGGUAGGGGAGACUGGAAUUCCUGGUGUAGCGGUGAAAUGCGCAGAUAUCGGGAGGAACACCAAUGGCGAAGGCAGCUCGCUGGGACGUUACUGACGCGUGAGACGCGAAAGCGUGGGGAGCAACAGG